CAAUUUUUUGGUUAUUUGGAAAGGAUACUCUAGUAACUGUGGUACUUAAAAAGUAAGAUAAUCGUAAAUUCAUUAAAGUGUACGAGUACUUCUGUAACUUCUAUCUGGAUUUUCUCUCUCAGUAUAUCUAUCGCUUCUAUGAGAACGUUUUUUAUAUGAAUAACUCCUUCCUUGAUAGUAAUCAUCUGAAUAACGGUCUGUUCGAUGUUGUUUCCGGCGCUCCGAAUGGUAUUCGCGAUACUUAGUUCUGUCUGGAUCUCUAUCGCGUUUGUUGUAAUUUCGUGAAUUAUAAUCUAAAUGUUUACUGCUCACUGAAGACUCUCUUGAGAGGUUGUUAUCUCGGCUUCUUUUUCUGAAUAGUUCUGAACUGGGAGUUAAGUUGUCAAUGGAAUUUGACUUCUUCUGUACUUCAGUAUGUUCGUUUUGUGAAUUCAGAGCGGAAUUUGAUUCUAGAGGCUUAACAGGAAGAAACAUAGUCUUUUUUGGAUUUUUCCAAAUAUCCAGCUCAGUAAGUUCGGAAUCCACAGGCUUGGCUCCCAUACCCAAAAACGUCGGCCUUUGAUUAACAUCAAAAGCAUCUUUAGAAGAUAAUUGACCAUUCCAACCCAUUCCUCGAAGCAUGGCGGCGCCAAAUUCUUCAACCGGAAUUUCCGAGUAAUCUUUCAUAUUAGAAGGCUCCGGAAGCUCGUCAAUGUCUUUUCUAUAUGCAUCUUUCUCGUUAACAACAUUAGUGGUAAUCGGCUGUAAGUUGGCAGAAUUAGCACUUUUAACAUCGUCAUUUAAAUCAUUAAGGACAAGUUGGACUUCUUCAGGAAGAAUAUCAGUACUUUCUUUAUUUGUGGCUAUCUUAUUUUGAGCCUUUUCAUUUGAAUUAUUUGCCUUCCAGUCCACAAUUUCAUUAUCCGCUGCUGAUGAAGAAGCCACCCGAAUAUUUAGACCAUAAUUUAAGCCGCUAUCUGGCAAUUGUGAAGGUUUCUCAUGAACUUCUGUUUCUUUUUUUUUAAACCUGGCUUUUCUUUUUUCCAUCCAGUUCUCAUCACUUGCAAUGUGGAUUAUCUUUGGCGCUCUUUUCUUUUCGUGUAUGCGCUGAAUAGUUUCAUUCUGAUAAUGAACUCCCUCUUCAGCGCUAAAUCCAGUAAUAAGUUGAGGACCUUUUAAUUUUUUUUCAUCUUCAUCCUCAGAAUCGCUGAAUGCUUCUAAUACGGCUUUUCGCUUCAUCAGAGUUAUUAUGAUAACUCACUUGUUUGCGACUAAGCGUAUUACAAUGAACAAAAAAAAUAAAAUGGCAAAAAUCGGCCAGAUUAUAAGUAGGAAGGAAAGUUUAAAAUUACAGUGAAAAUAGUCUUGAGAAUAAUCACAUUCGUACAAUGAGAGUUGUGAAGCUUUUCAGGAAUUUUUCGUUGCCCAGACAUGGAAUAGUGUGUGCUCCCUUUACCUCUUUAUUUGGAUUACAGAAUUCAUGCUCAUUUCUCCCUUACUUAAAACGCACCUUCAAAUAGCAGUAAAAAAAUAGCUUUUUUAUUUAGUGGCAUUUUUUAUUAAUAUAAAAGUAUAAACAAUUUUGGUUGAAACGAAAGCCUACUGUUAAUAUCAAC